GGUGUCCAAUAAAAUUUUUCGGAAAAGUAAAAUGUUUCAGUCCGGAAACAGCUAUGACGGUACCAACAGAAGAAGUAACGGCUAAAUACGUGCCAGCAGCCGCGGUAAUACGUAUGUCCCGAGCCUUAUCCGGAUUUAUUGGGCGUAAAGCGCGUCUAGGUGGUUAUGUAAGUCUGAUGUGAAAAUGCAGGGCUCAACUCUGUAUUGCGUUGGAAACUGUAUAACUAGAGUACUGGAGAGGUAAGCGGAACUACAAGUGUAGAGGUGAAAUUCGUAGAUAUUUGUAGGAAUGCCGAUGGGGAAGCCAGCUUACUGGACAGAUACUGACGCUAAAGCGCGAAAGCGUGGGGAGCAAACAGG
rnacentral:rRNA from 1 species